rnacentral:lncRNA from 1 species
CGUGAUCUCUGCUCACUGCAACCUCCGCCUCCUGGGUUCAAACAAUUCUGCCUCAGCCUCCGGAGUAGCUGGGAUUACAGGCGCGCGCCACUAUGCCCGGCUAAUUUUUGUGUUUUUAGUAAAGACGGGGUUUCACCAUGUCGGCCAGGCUGUUCUCGAACUCCUGACCUCGUGAUCCCUCCGUCUCGGCUUCCCAAAGUGCUGGGAUUACGGGCGUGAGCCACCGUGCCCGGCCGCAGCCUUGUUUUGACUGAGUCAGUGGGAGCCAUUACUGUUCCUAAAUGUAAACUGGCGUGACAGGAGUUCCGGGAUUGUCCACAGCACGGUGAUGUGGAAGCCCUGGGGAGAGAAUGAUAAAGAAAGGGGAUGAGGAACAGCUCCACCCGGAAGAGCGGGCUUCCCUAGCAAAUGAAUCUGGAAGGGCGCAGGGGAGGGGGCACGGCGAGUUCAGAUGGACCGAGGCUGGAAGCUGACGCGGUUGGAGGGGGAUGGGUGUAGCUGUUGGCAGUGGCGCUGGGGUGGAAGUGUGUGGGGUCACAGAUGUGUAAGGGUGGGCGCGGAGCAGACCCCCGAAGGUCCCUGAGGUCAGGCUGAGGCAUUGGACCAAAUCCGUACAUAGGCAUUUCUCUGAACUGCGCGCCACCUUUUGAGUGCCAUCUGUUUCCGUCCAGGACUCUGAUACAACUAUCCAGUCCGCUGCAGGGACCGGUCACUGUGUCACAGUAAGUGGUGGGAUUUAAGAGGCAGUUUUCCUCCUCAUGUUCUACCAUUAUGAACGUCUAGCUUGAAAAAUACAUACCAUUUUCAUAACUACGUAUUAUUUUGUUAGUGCUAGCAUAGUAGAUCUUUUUCCGUUAUUUUACUCUGUGGGGGGGGGGGGGUUUGUUUUGUUUUUGUUUUUGUUUUCUUUUUGGUACUAAGCUUUUUGUUCUGGAAUAAUUUUGGAUUUAUUCAAAACGUUGCAAAGACCGGGCGCGCUGGCUCACGCCUGUAAUCCCAACACUUUGGGAGGCCGAGAUGGGUGGAUCACCUGGGGUCAGGAGUUCAAGAUCAGCCUGGCCAACAUGGUGAAGUCCCGUCUCUACUAAAAAUACAGAAAUUAGCUGGGCGUGGUGGCGCGUGCACCUGUAAUCCCGGCUACUCGGGAGGCUGAGGCAGGAGAAUCGCUUGAACCCAGGAGGCCAAGGUUGCAGUGAGCCGAGGUUACACCAUUGCACUCCAGCCUGGGCAACAAGAGUGAAAUUCUUGUCUCAAAAAAAAAAAAAAGAAAAGUUGCAAAGAUCAUAAGCAGUCCACCAUGUUUUAUGCCCACUUUCUUCUGAUGCUGUCAUCACAAGCACCAACAAAAGUGGUUUGUUGUAGAUACUGACAUGAUGCAUUACUGUAACUAAAACCCAGACUUUACUGGGAUUUCACCACCUUUUCCUCCAAUGUUUUCUUUACAUGCCAGGGUACAAGCCAGGACCCACGUUCCAUUUAGCUUCCUUUUACCUGUUGUAUUUAGGGUGGGUUUCUUGUAGAUAGCAUGUAGUUGGAUCUUGCUUUUUUUUGCCCAAGCGAACAGUCUCUGCCUUUUAAAAGAGGUGUUUAUAACUGUACUUUUAUUUUUUAUGUCUUAUUCUUUAGCAUUCUGUACACAGAUACAGCGAUAAAAUGAAAUGACUGGAACUUAAAUGUGAAAACUCUUUACAAGUAAGCCCACAAUUAGAUACAUUUAUCUUACAUGUCAGGGAAAAAAAUUAUGUAAACAGGACAAAUUAUAUCACAAAAGAAUCCCAAAGUAGAAAAAAUACCUAAGAAAUGUGUCUAACCAUGAAAAGUACUGUUCUCUUGGUGUCUUCACAUCGUGUCUUCUGUGUACUUAAGUACAAAACAUUGUUGCCUCUGAUUAAUGCACCCUGUACUUAUUUUUCUGUUGUCCAGUUACAUAUUUGGUUGGUUCCAGGGCUAUGUUCAUGUAGCCAUCCAGGCAAACCAGCACCCCUCCCUUAAUCCACUUCAGAAUUUUACCCCAACUGUCUGAUGAUGUGCUCUAAGAAGUCACUAGGGGAUUGCUUUUCUUAAAAAAUCUAUUAUUAUUAUUAUUUUUUGAGACGGCUCUGUCGCCCAGGCUGGAGUGCAGUAGCACGAUCUCAGCUCACUGCAACCUUUGCCUCCCAGGUUCAAGCAAUUCUCUUUACAGGCGUGCACCACCACACCCAGCUAAUUUUUGUAUUUUUAGUGAAGACAGGGUUUCACAGUAUCUGGAAUUCCGGACCUCAGGUGACCCGCCCGCCUCUGCCUCCCAAAGUGCCGGGAUUACAGGCAUGAGCCACUGCGCCUGGCCAGUAGGGGGUUGCUUCUGAAAACUUAUUUUAAUAAUCUUGGGUAGGCCAGGCGCGGUGGCUCAUGCGUGUGAUCCUAGCACUUUGGGAGGCCGAGGCGUGUGGAUCACCUGAGGUCAGGAGUUCAAGACCAGCCUGGCCAACAUGGCGAAACCCCGUCUCUACUAAAAAUACAGAAAAAUUAGCCGGGCAUGGUGGCGCAUGCCUGUAAUCCCAGUUACUCAUGAGGCUGAGGCAGGAGAAUCGCUAGAACCCUGGGGGUGGAGGUUGCAGUGAGCCCAGAUCAUGCCAUUGCACUCCAGCCUGGGAGACAGAGCGAAACUCUGUUUCAAAAAAUAAUAAUCUUGGGGGGCAGGAAACCUAAGUCAUAAUCCCGGCUCUUUUACUUAACCAGCCGUAUGACUUGGAAAACUCGUUUCCCUUCUCUCGGCUCCAGAUUCCUCAUCUUGCAGCUGGGAUCCAGAGCUCUCACUCCAGGAGCCCAGUCACAGCAAAAACCAAAACUGUACUUUUUUUUUUUUUUUGAGACAGGGUUUCUCAUUCUGUCACCCAGGCUGGAGUGCAAUGAUGUGAUCUCUGUCUCAGCCCACAGCAGCUUCAACCUCCCAGGCUCAAGUGAUCCUCCUGCCUCAGCUACGCAGUGUAUGGUAUUUUGUUACAACAACCAGAAUGUAGUAAGACAUUUAUUGAAGGAUAUCUUGGUUCCUUCCAAGUUUUUGGCAGUGAUAAAGAAAGCUGCCAUAAACGUGCACGUGCAGAUUUCUUUGUGGGCAGAAGUUUUCAACCCAUCUGUGUAAAUACUGGGGAGCAGUGUUGCUGGUUCAUAUUCUAAGAGUAUGUUUAGGAUUAUGAGAGACCACCACACUGUCCUCCAAAGUAGCUGUACCAUUCUGCAUUGCCAGCACCAAUGAAGAAGGGUUUCUGUUGCUCCACAUUUCUGCCAGCAUUUGGUGGUGCCAGCAUUUUGGAUUUGGCAUUCUAAUAGGUAUGUAGUGGUGUCUUGUUUUUUUUUUGUUUUUUUGAGACAGAGUCUCACUCUGUCUUCCAGGCUAGAGUGCAGUGGCAUGGUCUCGGCUCACUGCAACCUCCGCCUCCUGGGUUCAAGCGAUUCUCCUGCCUCAGCCUCCCGAGUAGCUGGGACUACAGGCGUGCGCCACCACGCCCAGCUAAUUUUUGUAUUUUUAGUAGAAACGGGGUUUCACCAUGUUGGCCAGGAUGAUCUCGAUCUCUUGACCUCGUGAUCCACCUGCCUUGGCCUUCCAAAGUGCUGGGAUUACAGGUGUGAGCCCCCGCGCCCGGCCAGUGGUGUCUUGUUUUAACGGACGGUUCCCUAAUGACAUACGGUGAACAUCUUUUCCUGUGUUUAUUUGCCAUCUGUAUUAGGGUUCUCCAGAGGGCCAGAACUAACAGGAUAUAUGUAUAUAUUGAAAGGGAGUAUAUUAGGGAGAACUGGCUGACAGGAUCAUCAGGCAAAGUCCCACUAUAGUCCAUCUGCAAGCUGAGGAAGGAAGAAGCCAGUCACGUCUCAAAGUCCAAAAGCCUCAAAAGUAGGGAAGCCAACGGCGCAGCCUUCAGUCUGUGGCGGAAGGCCUAAGAGUCCCCGACAAACCACUGGUGGAAGUUCAAGAGUCCAAAGGCCAAAGAACCUGGAGUCUAAUCUCCAAAGACAGGAAGUAUCCAGCACAGGAGAAAGAUGAAAGCCAGAAGACUCAGCAAGCCAGCCCCUCCCACCUUCUGCGCUGACUGGAUGGUGCCCACCCACACUGAGAGUGGGUCUCCCUCUCCCCGUCCACUCACUCAAGUGUCAGCCUCCCUGGCAACACCCUCACAGACACACCCAGAAACAAUCCUUUUUUUUUUUUUUUUUUUUUUUUUUUUUUUUUUUUUUUUUGAGACCGAGUCUCACUCUGUCACCCAGGUUGGAGUGCAGUGGCACCAUCUCGGCUCACUCCAACCUCCGCCUCCCGGGUUCAAGCAAUUCUUCUGCCUCAGCCUCCCGAGUAGCUGGGACUACAGGCACGUGCCAUCAUGCUGGCUAAUUUUUGUAUUUUUAGUACAGACAGGGUUUCACCAUAUUGGCCAGGCUGGUCUCAAAUUCCUGCCCGUCUUGGCCUCCCAAAGUGCUGGGAUUACAGGUGUAAGCCACCAUGCCUGGCCCCUUUUCCUAUUUUUUAAUCAGAUUGUUUUCCUGUUAACUGAGUUUUAAGAGCCCUUUGUAAAUCUUGGAUAGCAGUCCUUCAUGAGAUAGGUCUCUUGCAAAUAGUUUCUCCCAGGCUGCAGCUUUUCUCAUUAUAUUAAAAAUGUUUUUCAAAGAGCAGAGGGUUUUGUUUUGUUUUGUUUUUUGAGAUGGAGUCUCGCUCUGUCGCCCAGUCUGGAGUGCAGUGGCGUGAUCUUGGCUCACUGCAAGCUCCGCCUCCCGGGUUCACGCCAUUCUCCUGCCUCAGCCUCCUGAGUAGCUGGGACUACAGGCACCUGCCACCACACCUGGCUAAUUUUUUGUAUUUUUAGUAGAGAUGGGGCUUCACCGUGUUAGCCAGGAUGGUCUCGAUCUCCUGACCUCAUGAUCCGCCCGCUUCGGCCUCCCAAAGAGCUGGGAUUACAGGCGUGAGCCACCACGCCUGGCCUAGCAGAGGGGUUUUUUUAUUAUUAUUUUAAUAAAGUCAAGCUUGUAAGUUUCUUUCAUGGAUCAUGCCUUUGAUGUAUCAAAAAAAUUAUCACGGCUGGGCGUGGUGGCUCACAGCUGUCAUCCCAGUAUUUUGGGAAGCCGAGGUGAGUGGAUCACUUGAGGCCAGGAGUUUGAGACCAGCCUGGCCAACGUGGCAAAACCCCAUCUCUACUAAAAAUACAAAAAUUAGCCGGGCGUGGUGGCGCACACCUGUAAUUCCAGCUACUCAGGAGGCUGAGGCAUGAGAAUCACUUGAACCCAGGAGGCAGAGGUUGCAGUGAGCCAAGAUUCUGCCAGUGCACUCCAGCCUGGGCGACAGAGUGAGACUCUUGUCUCAAAAAAAAAAAUUCACAAAACCCAGUCAUGUAGGUUUUCUCCUAUGUUAUCUUCUAGGAGUUUUAUAGAUUUGCAUUUAACAUUCAGCUCUAUGAUCCAUUUUGAGUUAAUUUUUGUGAAGAGACUAAGGUCUGUGUAUAGAUUUGAUUUAUUUAUUUUUGGCAUGUUGAUGUCCAGUUGUUCUAGCACCAUUUGUGGAGAGAAGUUUGGAAGUUUGAGCAUUUUUUAUGAUACCUUUUUUUUUUUUUUAGACGGAGUCUCACUGUCAUGCAGGCUGGAGUGCAGUGGCACAGUCUCGACUCACUGCAGCCUACUCCUCCCAGGUUCAAGCAGUUCUACUGCCUCAGCCUCCCAAGUAGCUGGGAUUACAGGCGUGCACCACCACACCCAGCUCCUUUUUGCAUUUUUAGUAGAGACAGGGUUUCACUAUAUUGGCUAGGCUGGUCUCAAACUCCUGACCUCGGGAUCUGCCUGCCUUGGCCUCCCAAAGUGCUGGGAUUACAGGUGUGAGCCACCACGCCCAGCCUUAUGAUACUGUUCUAUCUCUGCUCUGUGCCCACCACCACACCCAGCUAAUUUUUGUAUUUUUUGGUAGAGACGGGGUUUCACCAUGUUGGCCAGGCUGGUCUCGAACUCCUGACCUCAGGUGAUACGCCUGCCUCAGCCUCCCAAAAUGCUGGGAUUACAGGUGUGAGCCACUGCGCCUGGCCUUGUCUUCACUUUUGUUUUUUUGGUUUUUUUUUUGAGAGGGAGUCUUGCUCUGUCGCCCAGUCUGGAGUGCAGUGGCGCGAUCUCGGCUCACUGCAAGCUCCGCCUCCCGGGUUCACGCCAUUCUCCUGCCUCAGCCGCCCGAGUAGCUGGGAAUACAGGCGUCCACCACCACGCCCGGCUAAUUUUUUGUAUUUUUAGUAGAGACGGGGUUUCACUGUGUUAGCCAGGAUGGUCUCGAUCUCCUGACCUUGUGAUCCGCCCGCCUCUGCCUCCCAAAGUGCUGGGAUUACAGGCGUGAGCCAUCGUGCCCGGCCCACUUUUGAAAAACAGUUUCAGUGAGUAUCGAAUUCUAGGUUGACUACUUUUUUCUUUUGCUACUUUAAGAAUUUUCUUACACUGCUUUCUCACAUUGUUUCCAGUGAGAAAUCUGGUGUCAUCCUAAUUUUUGUUCCUCUGUUUAUAAAAUCUUUUUGUUUUUCAUCUGGCUGUUGUCAAGAUUUUCUCUUUGUUACUGGUCUUAAGAAAUUUGAUUAUGAUGUAUCUUGGUUUAUCUUUGUGUUUCUUCUGCUUGGGGUGUGUUGAGUUUCUUGUAUCUUUGGUUUUAUAGUUUGUAUCAAAUUUGGGAAAUUUGGGGUUAUUAUUUCUUUAAACACUCUCUCUGUUCCUUUCUUUCUCUCUCCUUAUGGGCCUCCAGUUACACAUAUAUUAAAAUGUCCCACAGCUCACCAGUGUUCUUUUCAUUAAAAAAAAAUAUAUUCAUUCCUUCUGGGGCAGGGCAUGGUGGCUCAUGCCUGUAAUCCCAGCACUUUGGGAGGCCAAGGCAGUAGGAUCACUUGAGCCCAGGAGUUUGAGACCACCCUGGGCAACAUGGUGAGACCUCAUCUCUACAGAAAAUUUUUAAAGAUUAGCCAAACAUGGUGGUGUGCGCCUGUAGUCCCAGCUACUCGAGAGGCUAAAGUGGGAGGAUCGCUUGAGCUGGAGAGGUUGAGGCUGCAGUGAGUCAUGAUCACGCCAGUGCACUCCAGCCUAGGUGACAGAGUGAGACCCUGUCUAAAAAGUAAAAAAAAAAAAAUCAUUUUUUUAAAUGUUUCAUUUGGACAGUUUCUAAUGUUGUCUUCCAGAUUUUUUUUUUUUUCCUGCAAUGUCUAAUCUGCUGUUCUAGGGCUGGGUGCAGUGGCUCGCACCUGUAAUCCCAGCACUUUGGGAGGCCGAGGCUGGCAGAUCAUUUGAGGUCAGGAGUUUGAGACCAGCCUGGCCAACAUGGUGAAAGCCCGUCUCUACUAAAAAUACAAAAAUUAGCUGGAUGUGGUGGCAGGUGCCUGUAGUCUCAGCUACUUGGGAGGCUGAGGCAUGAGAAUUGCUUGAACCUGGGAGGUGGAAGUUGCAGUGAGCCUAGAUCAUGCCACUGCACUACAGCCUGGGCAACAGAGCAAGACUCUCCCCCAAAAAACAAAAAUCUGCUGUUCCAGCCAGUACAUUAUUUAUUUCAGACAUUGUAAUUUCUAUCUGUUGAUAUCCAGUUUGAGUUUUUUUAUAUCUUCCGUAUCUGUAAAGAACUUUUGGAACGUAUGGAGUACAGUAUAAUAGUUGUUCUAAUGUUCUUACCUACUAAUUCUAACUCCUGGGUCCGUUUCAGUUGAAUGAUUUUUAUCCUCAUGAUGUGCCCUAUUUUCCUGCUUUUUGCAUAUUUGGUGACUUUGUUGUUGGAUACUAGACAAUAUCAGUAUUACCUUGUCGAGCACUCGUUACUUUUGUAUGCCUAUAAAUAUUCUUGAGCUUUGUUUGAGAAUGCAGUCACCUUACUUGGAAGCAGCUUGAUCCUUUCAGGUUUUGCUUUUAAGAUUCCUCAGGCAGGACCAGAACAGUGUUUAACAGGUUAGGGCUGCUUAUUCCCCACGGCUGAUGUAAGACCCUCUCCGUGUUCUACCCAGUGUUCCUUCAGUUAUGAGGUUCUUCUGGCAGGAACAGCGCCUUGUCAAGGCCUGUGUGAGUCCCCAGAACUCAGGCGCUAUUUGCUUCAGUCCCUCCAGGUGGUUCUUUCCCUGGCAUUCUAGUCUGCAGUAACAGAGGACCAUGGACUGGUGGCUCAAAAACAACAAACACUUAUUUCUCACAGUUCUGGAGGCUGGAAGUCCAAGAUAAUUUAUUUUUAUUUUUAUUUAUUUAUUUUUUGAGAUGGAGUCUCGCUCUGCUGCCCAGGCUGGAGUGCAAUGGCGCGAUCUUGGCUCACUGCAACCUUCGCCUCCCAGGUUCAAGAGAUUCCCCUGCCUCAGGCUCCCGAGUAGCUGGGACUACAGGCACCCACCACUACACCCGGCGAAUUUGUAUAUAUUUAGUAGAGACAGGGUUUCACCAUGUUGGCAAAGCUGGUCUCGAACACCUGAGUUCAGGUGAUCUACCCACCUCGGUCUCCCAAAGUGCUGGGAUUACAGGCGUGAGCCAUCGCACCCGGCCCAUAACUUCAUUCUCAAAACAAAGCUCAAGAACAAAGCUCAGACUCCCUGCUUUGUCUCCUCUGCUCACGGAGUCCUCCCAGCUCCGCCUCAGUCUUCCCUCCCUGUCCCGUGGUCUAGAAACUUGCAACAGGACCCAGCGGCAAUUUUAGGGCUUGCCUUGAUGUUUCCCGUUCCUCAGGGAUCACUUUCUUGGUAGAGUCUUGACCACUGUUGUUUUCUUGUAUUUACUCUAUUUUUGGGGGGUCAAGUCCAGUCUCUGUGACUCCAUCCUGGUCGCAGUGGAAGCCCCCAUAGGUAACAUUCUAAAAAUAACACUGGAUUUUCCUUUUGUAAAGUUUGGGUAAAAUGCCUUUUUUUUUUUUUUUUUUUUUUUUGAGACGGAGUCUUGCUCUGUCGCCCAGGCUGGAGUGCAGUGGCGCGAUCUCGGCUCACUGCAAGCUCCGCAUCCCGGGUUCAGGUGAUUCUCCUGCCUCAGCCUCCUGAGUAGCUGGGAUUGCAGGCGCCCGCCACCAUGCCCGGCUAAUUUUUGUGUUUAGUAGAGAUGGGGUUUCACCGUGUUGGCCAGGCUGGUCUCAAACUCCUGACCUCAGGUGAUCGCCUGCCCCAGCCUCCCACAGUGCUGGGAUUACAGGCGUGAGCCAGGGUGCCCGGCCAACUUCUUGUUGAGAGAUCACCCCCAGGCUCAUUGGCAUGGGAGAUCAAGCAGCUGAGUCUCAAGGUACUUUGCAGCCGCCCAACAGCCAGCGGAUGCCUGUGCUUGGGAAAUGGGCUCAGGGGCACUAGAGGGCAGUGUUUGAGAGGAAAGAAGUCAGCAUAGCAGCAGGGCCGGGCCUGGGGCAGACAGCCCACAUGGUUAGGAAAAAGUGAGUGAACGCAUGUGGCCCCCAGAACCCCUCCCUGAAAUUGCAGUUGAUUUUUAUUCCCACCGUCAGGCCCACAUAUCUAAAGCUUCCUCUGAACGCUCCUUGCAGUACACAAAAUAGAAAUGAUUGACAGGCACAGAGCAGCAGCAGGCCCCACGCUGUACACCAGCAUCUGGCACUGUGGGUCACCAAGCACCAACUCGAUCCCCUCGGAGCCAGGUGUGUGUUGAGAUUCAGGAUUUUUCAGUUGCAAAGGCAAUAUGAUCUCUACUCCACAGGGCACACGGCACCCUCAGUGCUCAGCACAGCAGUGUGCAGCAGCCUGGUUAACUUUUCUGCAGGGAAGUAUGUGAACGUUCACACCAAGCGUGUCAGUCAUGUCUGUAAGUCAUCUCCCACCAACACAGGUCAGGUUUUCCUGCCCAAUGAGCUUGGGGAUGGCUUGACUUUGGAGCUCUUUGGAUCUGUGGAUUUUGGAAUUUUGGAUUUCUGAUACCCGUUUGAUCAAAGAGGCAACCGAGGUCUAACGGGUCAAGUGACUUUCCCAUAUCCGUGAAGGUCAUGAAAAGCAGGGCCAGGAUGGUGGCCUGGGGUGCCUUGAAUGAUAAGCUGGGCCCUUCACUGUGCAGGCCCCUCUCCUUCAGUCCACUCUGCCACUGCUGUCUGCCACACCCUGCUCUGAUAGCUCCUCUCUGCCAGGCUUUUCCCUCACAUCCUCAACUCAGCCAAGAGCUGGUUUCUUCCAGAGAGCCCUGCUGUGCAGUCAGUUAUUGGACUUCUCUUUUUGUGCAUGUUUGUUUUCAGGGUUUAGCUGAUCAAAGUGGUAUCGUUGUAACAGGCAGCUCUAAAUAGAAGUCUUCAGAAGCCUGUGUGUCUUUUUCUGUAAAUCAAUUCCCAAAAGCAGGAUUGUUGGGGCAUGGGGUGUAUGCAGUUUUGAUCUGAUCACAUACAAGCGCAUUUUUUUUUUUUUUCAAGGGAUGGUGGCAGCUCACAGCCUCAGGAGAAGUGUUUUGAGUGCCUGUUCCUCUAGGUCCUCGCCCGCCCAGGACAUCACCACUCUUGUUAAUUUCAUUGUGUCUAGGUAGUGAAAAAGUGUAGUUUCUCAUUCUUUCAAAUUGCAUUUCCCAAUUAUUAGAGUUUGAAUCUUUUUGUCUGUUUACUGAUGUUGGAAUUUUUAUUGAGUAUUCAACUCAAUUGAUUACUUUUAAAUGGGUUGUCUUUUUCUUAGUUUAUGAAAGCUUUUGUAGAUUAUAUCUUUUAAGAAUAACAUUUCUGCAUCAUAACUGUUAACAUACACACACACACACACACACACACACACACACACACACGCACGCACACACUCACUGUUCCCCAGUCUGUCAAUUUGCCAUUUGACUUUACGGUAUGUUUUUCAAUCUAUAAUUUGCCAACUAAGCUAUCUUUUCCUUUCUGGUUUUAUGAUCUCCUGCUUAAACUCCUCCCUCCCCAUUUUCCCUACCCAGAUACAUGACAUGCAGACAAUAUACAAAUAUUCUCCUAAUUUCUCUGGUUUGUUUUGUUUUGUUUUGUUUUUUUCUGAGAUGGAGUCUCACUUGAUCUCCCAGGCUGGAGUACAGUGGUGCAACCUCCACCUCCCGGGUUCAAGCAAUUCUCCUGCCUCAGCCUCCCGAGUAGCUGGGCUUACAGACCUGUGCCACCAUGCCCAGCUAAUUUUUUUUUUCUUUAAGUAGAGACGGGGUUUCACCAUGUUGGCCACUCUGCUCUCAAACUCCUGGCCUCAAGGGAUCCACCCACCUUGGCCUCUCAAAAUGCUGGGAUUA